rnacentral:rRNA from 1 species
ACGAGACACGUGAAACCUUGUGGGAAGCAGGGAGGACCACCUCCCAAGGCUAAAUACUACCUGAUGACCGAUAGUGAAGCAGUACCGUGAGGGAAAGGUGAAAAGAACCCCGGGAGGGGAGUGAAAUAGAACCUGAAACCGUGUGCCUACAACCGCUCAGAGCCCCUUAUGAGGGUGAUGAGGUGCUUUUUGUAGAACGAGCCAACGAGUUACGGUAUGUAGCAAGGUUAAGUACUUAAGGUACGGAGCCGAAGGGAAACCGAGUCUGAAUAGGGCGACUAGUUGCAUGCCGUAGACCCGAAACCGGGUGACCUAUCCAUGGCCAGGUUGAAGCGAGGGUAAAACCUCGUGGAGGACCGAACCACGUUGCUGUUGAAAAAGCAUGGGAUGAGCUGUGGAUAGCGGAGAAAUUCCAAUCGAACCCGGAGAUAGCUGGUUCUCUCCGAAAUAGCUUUAGGGCUAGCGUCGAGUAUGAGUAGUGGAGGUAGAGCACUGAAUGGGCUAGGGGGCAUAGCGCUUACCGAACCUUAUCAAACUCCGAAUGCCACAUACUUUGAGCUCGGCAGUCAGACUACGAAUGAUAAGAUCCGUGGUCAAAAGGGAAACAGCCCAG